CUCAUGUUACAAAGAAAAAUCCCUUUUCUAGCCUCACAAGUCUUACCGGCGCCCUUCCUCAUUUUCUAAUCAGCCUUUGUUUGGUUUAGUAUUAAAAAGAAAAGGAGAAAAUAAGAAGUGUCUUUUGAAUGAAUGACGGUUCUCCUAAUUUACACAGUGCAAAAAUGUAUACAUGUUUGCUAUAACGAGCGGGUUGAUCCACUAAUUUUGUAUUCUUUCAUGAAUUUACCGCGAUAUGAAUUAAUACUUGCUUCAUCUAAAUGAAUUUAUCGAGCUUUAUGUUCCUAAAGCUUGGAUGUGGAAACUCAUACAUAUCAUGCGUUGACUUUCAGAUUUUGCAGAGUUCAAUAUGGAAAACGGUUAGUUUCUUGGGAAUUCAAAGGUUAGAUUGUUGCUUUCAUAUACAAAGCUUAGAAACAAUGCCUCAUUCUUCCUUUAGAAGGACAUUACUCUACAUUGUACUUUUAAUGAGCAAUUGCGGUAUACUCUUCCUUUUACCUAUUGUCUUGCAUACAAAAAUUCCAUAAUGCAACUACAUGCUUGUGUUAAAGGUUGAAUUUUAACAUUAAGAGCUUGGUUGAAGAGAAAACUCACCUCAAAAUGUUGACUCAUUGGACAAGGUUUGGUCUCCCUGUCCAUAGUUAGUUUGGUACUUUUUAAAUUAAAAUAUUUUAUUCCAAA